AUUGAACGCUGGCGGCAGGCCUAACACAUGCAAGUCGAGCGGAUGAAGGGAGCUUGCUGCUGGAUUCAGCGGCGGACGGGUGAGUAAUGCCUAGGAAUCUGCCUGGUAGUGGGGGAUAACGUCCGGAAACGGGCGCUAAUACUGCAUACGUCCUGAGGGCGAAAGUGGGGGAUCUUCGGACCUCACGCUAUCAGAUGAGCCUAGGUCGGAUUCGCUAGUUGGUGGGGUAAAGGCCUUCAAAGGCGACUAUCCGUAACUGGUCUGAGAGGAUGAUCAGUUACACUGGAUGUGAGAAACGGCACACACACUUGCGGUAGGAAACAGUGGGGAAUAUUGGACAAGGGGCGAGAGCCUGAUACAGCAAUGCCGCGGGAGUGAAGAAGGUCUUCGGCUGCGAGAGCACUGUAGGUUGGGAGGAAGGACAGUAAUUUAACACCUUGCUGUUUUGACGGUACCGACAGAAUAAGCUCCGGCUAACUUCGUG
rnacentral:rRNA from 1 species